CCUACGGGAGGCAGCAGUAGGGAAUCUUCCACAAUGGGCGAAAGCCUGAUGGAGCAACGCCGCGUGAGUGAUGAAGGCCUUCGGGUUGUAAAACUCUGUCAUUCGGGACGAACCGGAGUCUGAGGAAAUGCAGACUCUCUGACGGUACCGGAGGAGGAAGCCCCGGCUAACUACGUGCCAGCAGCCGCGGUAAUACGUAGGGGGCAAGCGUUGUCCGGAUUCACUGGGCGUAAAGCGCGCGCAGGCGGUGAUGUAAGUCUGAGGUGAAAACCCGAAGCUCAACUUCGGGACUGCCUUGGAUACUGCGUCACUUGAGGAUAGGAGAGGCAAGGGGAAUUCCACGUGUAGCGGUGAAAUGCGUAGAGAUGUGGAGGAACGCCUGUGGCGAAGGCGCCUUGCUGGCCUAUUUCUGACGCUGAGGCGCGAAAGCGUGGGGAGCAAACAGGAUUAGAUACCCUGGUAGUCCACGCUGUAAACGAUGAGUGCUAGGUGUAGGUGGGCUCAUACCACUCUGUGCGAGCGUACGACAUAGUCGACUCCGUUCCGUUCGGGUAGGUUACGGUUCGGCGAGACGUUAGAACGUUAAAGUUAGUUAGUUAGUUACGGCGUUGAGACGUUCGCCGACGGACGACGACGAGGGAGGUUAGGAG
rnacentral:rRNA from 1 species